GACGAACGCUGGCGGCGUGCCUAAUACAUGCAAGUAGAACGCUGAAGGAGGAGCUUGCUCUUCUGGAUGAGUUGCGAACGGGUGAGUAACGCGUAGGUAACCUGCCUGGUAGCGGGGGAUAACUAUUGGAAACGAUAGCUAAUACCGCAUAACAGUAGAUGUUGCAUGACAUUUACUUAAAAGGUGCAAUUGCAUCACUACCAGAUGGACCUGCGUUGUAUUAGCUAGUUGGUGGGGUAACGGCUCACCAAGGCGACGAUACAUAGCCGACCGGAGAGGGUGAUCGGCCACACUGGGACUGUGACACGGCCCAGACUCCUACGGGAGGCAGCAGUAGGGAAUCUUCGGCAAUGGACGGAAGUCUGACCGAGAAACGCCGCGUGAGUGAAGAAGGUUGUCGGAUCGUAAAGCUCGGUUGUAAGAGAAGAACGAGUGUGAGAGUGGAAAGUUCACACUGUGACGGUAUCUUACCAGAAAGGGACGGCUAACUACGUG
rnacentral:rRNA from 1 species